rnacentral:rRNA from 1 species
CCUACGGGUGGCUGCAGUGAGGAAUAUUGGUCAAUGGUCGAGAGUCUGAACCAGCCAAGUAGCGUGAAGGAUGACUGCACUGAGGGUUGUAAACUUCUUUUAUAUGGGAAUAAAAUGUUCCACGUGUGGGAUUUUGUAUGUACCUUAUGAAUAAGGAUCGGCUAACUCCGUGCCAGCAGCCGCGGUAAUACUGAGGAUCCGAGCGUUAUCCGGAUUUAUUGGGUUUAAAGGGUGCGUAGGUGGAUUGUUAAGUCAGUUGUGAAAGUUUGGGGCUCAACCGGCAAAUUGCAGUUGAAACUGGCAGUCUUGAGUACAGUAGAGGUGGGCGGAAUUCGUGGUGUAGCGGUGAAAUGCUUAGAUAUCGCGCAGAACUCAGAUUGCGAAGGCAGUUCACUGGACUGCAACUGACACUGAGGCUCGAAAGUGUGGGUAUCAAACAGGAUUAGAUACCCCGGUAGUC